rnacentral:rRNA from 1 species
UACGUAGGGUGCAGGCGUUUAAUCGGAAUUACUGGGCGUAAAGCGUGCGCAGGCGGUCUUUUAAGUCAGAUGUGAAAUCCCCGGGCUCAACCCGGAAAUGGCAUUGAAUACUAUCUUGCUAGAGGAGUGGAGGGGGGGACUGGAAUACUUGGUGUAGCAGUGAAAUGCGUAGAUAUCAAGUGGAACACCAGUGGCGAAGGCGAGUCCCUGGACACUUCCUGACACUGAGGCACGAAAGCUAGGGGAGCAAACAGG